CUGGCCAUCCCCACACUUCCACCCUCCUCCUCCGCGUCAACUUCCCUCUGUCGUCGAGCCCUCCGCCCCCGUUCCCUUCCCUCUCCUGCAGCCGCCGGUGUCCCAUGCCGCCGCGAAAAUGCCUGCACGGAUCUGGCCACAGCGAGACCUUUCCCUAUGCGCUGCCCUCGAUUGAGGGGACUCGGAGCGGCGGCCGGCGGCGCGUCCGGCGAGCCCACGCCGACGAGCCUCUUCGUCGAGUUUGUGCUGGUGGCCGUGCUCUGCGUGGUGAGCAAGCUCCAUGAUCAAUGGGCUGAUUUCUCACACCAGAAAGGGAAGGAAGAUCGAUCGACCAACCGGCCGGUCCGCCACGCGCGAGGAAAGAACAAGGGGCGCGCUCAAGGCCACGCAGACGGCGCCAACCGGCGUGCGUGCUUGCCCGCCGCCGUUGCGUCUCGCUCGCUUGCCUCCUCUCCCCCGUGUGUUGCUCGCCUGCCGCCCUACCGUCAUGCCGUUCACGAUCGGUUGAUGAGCCCUGUAAGAUCUGCUGCUGCGGGUUGAGAUCGAACACCGGCUACAGCGGCAAUUCACAGGGGCUCAACGGCGACUACAAGGGAUGAGCUGCCUCUCCCCUGAAAAUAAAGGUAGCGCAAAGGGGUCAUGCCCUUUCACUUUGCCAUGGCGGGACACUAGGCGAGCGGAGGGAGAUGUCCUGUUUCCCUGGCUGGUGGCCGGCCUCUAUGCGCAUGGCCCAUGGGGAAUUGGGGAGCGACCCCAUUGCCGCUGCAUCACACUGUCGACCAUGGGCACAUGGAGCACGAGCGCGGAGACGAGUCCGGCGACCGCCGGCAGUGGGAUUCGUCGACUCCGACGCGAGAACUCCACGGCUUCCAUUCAACUAUUCUUUUCUUCGAUUUUCCUCCUUUGUCUUAUAUAUGUGUUCAUCUCUCAUUAAUUUUUCCGGUUAUGUUUAGUUAUGCAAUCACCCACCACAUUGCAACGUUGGCGACCAGGUGCGCGGUGGCAUACUUUCUUGGUUUGGAUGGUUGACCUGCCGAGCUUCCCAUGGGGAGAGAUGCCACUGCUACAGAUCGUAGCCUCCACGCCCAGGAGCCUCCGCUAAUGAGCUCUUAUGUCACUAUGUCAGUGGUUUACAGAAAAAUGCUAAAACAAGAGAGUUUCAGGGGUUGGCAUUUGAGUUCAAUCUCUGCGAAGCUUUGCCCUCAAGGGAGCAGGUAGGUAUUUUUUUUCUGCUCUGCUGACUUAUCUUUCUGAUUCACUUGAUACAACUUCAGGUCCAGGGGCUGCCUUAUUUACAGAUAUGAGAUUAACUCAUUCAAGGAUGAAGUACCAGAGUACAUUACAAAGCAUGGACUUCGCAUCUGUCGGGGGUCAUGGCAUGUUGUUGCGGCUGGGAGGCGCAGUGUUGAGCGGCGGCGGUAGCGGCGCUGGGGGAUGGGCGUGGUUGUGUGGACCACGAGCGGGCACAAUGAGCUUCUGCUCUGCGGUUCCUCCACCUUCUGCUGAAUUAUUUGUUCUUACAAAGGAAGGUACAUAUGUGUGCUACUUCUCAAGAGAGGCAAGCAUCAGCUGUGUGUUUGCUUAAGGAGAAGACAACCCAACAGCUUCUUCGUAUCGAUUAUUUUGAUCAAUAGGUCAUAUUGUCAGUAUUACUGUAUUUUAUUCAGUCUUUAGUAGUUUAAUUACUUGCACAACAAUAUUACCUAACUGAAUGUUCCUCCCAUUUAGAUUUUUUCCUCUGCAGUAGUAAGAAAUUCAGUGGUUCAGCUGACUUACCAGGGGAAUUACUACUGAAUUUCUUCACCAACAUUUUAGAGUGUGUUUGACUGGUGUAAUGGUGUUCUCGAUGAACAUUUUCAGAGUGAGCUUACUACAAUAUCAGAUUGACUACUUCAAGUACAUUUAAACUCGCCUUCCACAGUUGUGUGCUCUAUGUCAAGCCAAUGGAAUCAUAGGCGAGGGGAUCAGAAUGUGUCAAUGAAGAAUGGAAAAAUAUUUGAUCGUAUAUUCAGGUAAGGUGCCAUGUUCAUCUGUACUUUCUAGCUAUUCCAUUGUCUUUAAUUGCUUCGACCACUUCAGUUUUCCUAAAAUUGAUGGCAUCACAAGUUUCAGUUAAGCACACAGAAUUCUUAUGCGGUACAGGUUAAGUUCCACGUUCUUCUCUACUUUCUAGCUAUUCCAUUGUUUUUAAUUGCUUUGAGAAGUCUAGAUUUCCUAGAAUUGAUGGCAUCACAGGGUUAGAAUUGAUGGUUGUGCUAAGUUAAGACCACAGUUUAUUCAUUGCUUUAAUUUUCCUAGAAGAAAAACUGGGACGGGACACUGGGACUGGGACGGGACUGGGACGGGAGCAACCAACAAUUUUCUGUACUCAAAGAUGUCAGCUCUGCAACUGAAAAGAAGAUAAGGAAGGCCAAAGCAUGGCUGCUGCACCUGCCAAGAAACCACUCCUCGGUAAGCAGCAGGUUUAGACACAAAUUAAACACAUACAAUGAACUGACUUUUACCUUAUUUCUUCUUCUCGCACCAAAACAAAGAUUCACCUAGAAGAACGGCUCAGGUCAGCCAAGAACCGAUGAAGGAAAGAUUUAAUACACUACUACCAAUCAGUUAUGUAUAGUAUUAUGGACCUACCAACUAUCCUAGACGAUAAGUAAUUUUGUGUAUUGUAAUAUUAAGUAUUCAUCACCCAGCUAUGUAUGAUUGUCCUAAUCGUACUCUCAUGUUUCUGCAAUAGUAGUAUUCUACUAUUUGGUACAGUUGACCGCUCUAGAUACUAUGUAUAAUACUCUGUUCGGUACUGAAUCUGUUGUCGGUAUAUAUUUGUCUUGCCAAGGAAAACUAAUAAUGCCUCUUUGCUCAAUGCCCGACAUUACAUUGCUCCAUUAUUCUCUGUCUCCACCUGCCCCUUUCAAGGCGAUAGACUCAGCUUCACAGGUUGA